UCAUGGGCGCGAGCCUGACCAGCCNAGUAGCGUGAAGGAUGAAGGCUCUACNNNGUCGUAAACUUCUUUUAUAUGGGAAUAAAGUAUUCCACGUGNGGAAUUUUGUAUGUACCAUAUGAAUAAGGAUCGGCUAACUCCGUGCCAGCAGCCGCGGUAAUACGGAGGAUCCGAGCGUUAUCCGGAUUUAUUGGGUUUAAAGGGAGCGUAGGUGGAUUGUUAAGUCAGUUGUGAAAGUUUGCGGCUCAACCGUAAAAUUGCAGUUGAAACUGGCAGUCUUGAGUACAGUAGAGGUGGGCGGAAUUCGUGGUGUAGCGGUGAAAUGCUUAGAUAUCACGAAGAACUCCGAUUGCGAAGGCAGCUCACUAGACUGUUACUGACACUGAUGCUCGAAAGUGUGGGUAUCAAACAGGAUUAGAUACCCUGGUAGUCCAAGGGCGAAUUC
rnacentral:rRNA from 1 species